rnacentral:lncRNA from 1 species
AAGGGCAUUAUCACAAGCGGAUUUGGAGAAGGUGGUGCUUACAACAAAGAAGACGAGGGUUGCAGCAAGUGAGUAUAGUGGUUUGAGCAGCUCACAAUCAGAAGUGUGGUCAGUGCCAAGGGAAACGGAUGAUUAUCAAGCUGCCAUUAGUGAGCUUUCAAAGAUUGUUGUGUCACAGAUUAUGAACAUUAGAGCAGAAAACCAAGAUCGUGAUUGAAGAUCAAUUCAUAUUUAAGAUUUCAUCUCCCUCUCUCAAUUUUGAUUAGUCAGGAUUAUAUGUCAUAUUAUGGUAUGAUGUACAAUAUACUUAUGCGAAAAGUUAUCUUAUUACCACAUGCUUUUGAUUUUUCUUUAGUUUGAUUAUGUAACUUUCAGUGCUAAGUUAUUGUUUUUUCCUCAGUUUUUUAAUAACAGAAUCUGUGAUGGGUUUGUUUAUUUGACUUGAUCCAUGCAUUGCAUGCUUUCAACUUCAAGAAUAUGACAAAUAUUCACCAACUUUAAUAACUCGGACUUAAUUAUUAUUUUAUAUGAUACUAAAAGUCAGCAAAUAGAUAUUUAUUUAUAUGAGGUUUUUACAUUUUUAGUUUACAUUAAUAUUAUACAAAAAGUCAGCAAAUUUUUUAAACAUCGCUGAUGUGGUGUUGAUUAUGAUGGCAUGUGCGGAAUUAGAAAGAUCUAGUGAUUCAUCAUACAAAUUCAAGAACACCAGGAGUAAUAAAUCUUUGUUAGCUCUUAUUAGAUCUAGAAAGAUUAUACAAAUGGGUUUGUAUAUAAUUUCUCUCUCUAGUCUAACACUCAAAAAUGGACUCCCUUCAUAAUGGGAGUCACUCACUUCCUAUUUAUAAGAAAAGACUCAACUCAUUUACACAUACAAAGAGGAAAGCUUAAAACAUUACAUCCAAGCAUGACUUUGCACCCUAACAUUCUCCCCCUCAAAGUUAGGAUUGGAUGUCCGGCUUUAAUCUCCAACGAGCUAGCGCGAUCAAGACCAAACUCCCCCUCGAAGUAACACCGAUCUUCAAAUCCGCAAAUGAAUAUUCGACAAACCCGAGAAGCUUCGAAUACCCAUCAUUCUCCCCCUUUUUAUAAUAAAAAAAAUGAUUAUAAAACCCACUAAGGAUGAGAAGCGCCCGAGGAAUAAUCUUCACAAUACUCCCCCUUGAUGUGUACCAAAAAUGAAUCACCAAAAAUCUUGCACGGAAAAACAAUCACGAAAAAGCCACAAAAAUUUUCAAUUUAUGAAAAUUUUUGACUUUUUGGGUGAAAGUUGCAAGAUUUUUCAAAAAUCGGGUAGAAAUUGUCACUUUCUGAAACUUGCAGGGACCCGUUGCGCUCAAAACAGCCAAAUAUGCGAAACUCUAGCCCAUUUGCGAAACCGGGCAUAAAGCGUAAAUUCACACAAACUGCAGGGACUGAACAUGAAACUUCUUUCCAUUUGUCAGAAAAUUACCCCAAUGUCAAAAUUGGGUCAAAUGUGUCAAACUUUUGAAACUUAAAGGACCAAUUUCAAAACUUUUGUGUGUCUUCCCCAAUUGAUUUGUUCCAGUCAAUGUCGAUACUAGUUAUAAACCUUCGAAACUUCAAUCUCCAAAACUCAAUUUUUUCUUUUUCAAACAACCAAUCCAGUCGAUUAUUUGUGUUGGGCUUGAUCUGAAAAAAAUUAAUUGGAUCAAACAAAGGGGUUGAAACGGAUUUGAUCCAAUGAGGCAAAUCGAUUUCAAAUGAAAAACGUCAAAAUACGAAUCGAAAUCAUGGACGUUUUGGAAUCCAUUUGAGAAUUUGAGAUACCUUUUUGACGAAUCGAGUUCCGUUUUCAACAAACGAAUCAAAUUUGGAAGAUCUUGGUUCUUUUGUCGGAAUGAGAAAAUCUCCAAAUCGAACAUUGUACCACCCACCAUGCGAGAUGUACAACUCGUUCUUCGUGUUCUUCAUCAAACCAAGAACAUCUUCAAAAGAACCACCAACACAUUUGGGUUUUGACUUCAAAUUCAAUUCAACACUUGGAGAUUGUUGCUUUGGAACCCAAAUUUGCUUCACGGAUUUUGGCUUCACAACAUAUGACGAUUUUUGUGAGUAAACCCGCUUAUUCUUCCGAUUCAUCUUCUUCUUCUUUUUCUUUCUCAUCUUUUUGCAUCUUGAAGACUUGACUUCAUGAACAAACCCACUUUCAACAACAUGAACAUUUUGAGUUUGAAUCAAAUCUUUUGGAGUUUGAUACUUGUGAUUUUCUUGGAUCACCGGCUUCCGAUAAGGAAUCAUUCCUUCAAACGAAUCACAAGAACACAAAAUAUCAUCGGUUUGAACUCCAAUUGAGCAAAAAACUUUUUCAUCAUGAGAAUCAACUUGAACUCCUUUUUCUUGAACAUCAAGAACAUCACAUUGAACUCCAUUGUCAAGAACUUCAACAAACUUAAGAGCACGAAGAUCAUUUGGGUUUUCAAUUAGAGAAAUGUAUUUCUUAUUGAACAAAUCUCUUUCUUCUCCUUCUUUUUGAUUUCUACUACGAACUAAUAUGGACAAGGCAAUUUUAUUCAACCAUGUAAUCUUACAAAUUGGUUGAAAUACCAAGCUUCCAUGAUCAUCCUUCAAACCUCCAUAAGAAACCAAAUUACCCCAUGAAAUCAAUUUGCUUAACAACAACCCAUAAAAUUGAUCUUCAUUGACUUUGUAUUUCACAUCUUUAACGAUCACAAUCCAAGAAUCAUAUGGCAAACCCACCAUGAUCACAAAAACUUGAAGAUUUCUAGAGAGAGAAAGUGAUUUUGAAUGGGUUUUCUAGAGAGAUAAAGUGAUACAAACAAGUAUUCUAGAGAGAGAAAGUCGAAUUAUGGAUCAAAUCAAAGAAAAAUUCGACUUCUAGAACACAAAAACACUCUCUAAACACGAAGAUCAAUGAACAAUAAGAAUCACCAAAUCAAAAUAGCCAUCAAGGAUCAUUUCUUGAUGAAAAUCAAGAACACCCUCUCUGAUACCAAUUAUAGUGGUGUUGAUUAUGAUGACAUGUGCGGAAUUAGAAAGAUCUAGUGAUUCAUCAUACAAAUUCAAGAACACAAGAAGUAAAUAAAUCUUUUUAAGCUCUUAUUAGAUCUAGAAAGAUUAUACAAAUGGGUUUGUAUACAAUUUCUAUCUCUAGUCUAACACUCCAAAAUGGACUCCCUUCAUAAUGGGAGUCACUCACUUCCUAUUUAUAGAAAAAGACUCAACCCAUUUACACAUACAAAGAGGAAAGCCUAAAACAUUACAUCCAAGCAUGACUUUGCACCCUAACAAUUGCAAAUGCCCUCGUUAGAUUUUGGUGAUUCUCAUACAUUUGUAAUUGUGAAUCGGUAACAAAACCUUAAACCAAACAUAUCAAAACAGCAUGUAAGGUCUAAAUGGAAAACACUUUGUUUUGUACAUCUUCAUCUCUUAGAUCUUAUUUUUAUUAUUUGCUAUUAUUAUUAUUAUUAUUAUUAUUAUUAUUAUUAAAAUGUGAACAUUCUCAAAAUAAAUAGGUAACCUCUUUUAUGUAAGAUCUAUUGUAAUCAUUCUCACAUAAAUAUCAAGAAAAUUAUUAAUAUAGUAUCUAUAAAAACUUGAAGCAUUUAUUCGAUCAUCAACGUAGUGACAAAACAAGUUUUUCAACGUUAGCCAUCAGUUUGACCAACGACAUACACAUUUUACCCAAGUUGAAGUUUUGAUAUAAUAAAUCUAUAAUUUUUCCGUUUUGACUAUAGAAAACACUGUUAUUAAAUCCAUAAUGCUAUAAUAGCCUCUUCAUAAUGGAUCAUAUUUUUAUUAGACAACUUUAGUAUGACUAACUUUAUUUACUUCACCAAAAUAACUCUCCUUUCACUUGCUGCCUCAAGUGAGUUGAACCUUAAAGUUCUAUUAUGGUUAUAGACCGACUAGCGAAUCUAAAUAGAAAUGCGCAUAGUUUCUUAAUUAAGUGAAGUUGAUAAAAACAAAAGGACAACAAUACAUGUAGUGAGUCAAGUCGAACUAGUAAAAACGGCCGGUUUGCAAAAAAACAAAUUCAACCAUACCGAUCAAACGUCUUAAAAUCAUGACCCCUAAAGCCAUAUUUUUUUGCAUGACUGCGUCUCUUUUCAUUUUAAACAACCAUCUUUGCAACAAUCAUUUCCUACAACCAACAACAUGGGAGGAGUUGUGUUGGUUUUUAAGUUUCCAUAUAACCCUUUCACCAUUCAUUUUUAUAACAUCAAACAACUAAAUCUCUUUCUCUUUAUCUCCGAUAUGUUAUAUGUUUUGAUAAACAUUUCAAACACCCGUUUUGCAUGUAUGAGUUGAUUAUGGUUGGUUUGUCUAAGUUUUGAUUUGGGAUUUUUGAUUGGGUCGCGGUGCGUGUCACGUCAUUAAGUAGCGGUGCGGUGGUCACUCAUCUCGUUUUAUGGAUAUAUCUUAUAAGAUAUUCAGGUAAGUUUUCACGAACUCUCUAAUUAUAUGGACUAUGACAUUAGGAUGUUAGACCAUGAAAAUCCUCUUGAAGAAAAUGAUCGGGGAUCGAUCAACUAGAGAAAAUCCUCUAGGGGGGGAAUCUAGUUGAAUAAGUAAUUAGAAUGAUAUGAUGUUAGGAUUAUGUAUCUUCUAUCAUGUUGCUUUGCUAACAUUAGUGACCCAAAACUCCGUUCAUAAGGAAGGCAGUGAGAUUAGACGCCAAUUGUAUCCCUAUGUUAAACAUAAUAAGAUUGAGUUAAUGUUUGUGAUUGAUAUGAUAACUUGGACAAUUUGAGAAGUUGUCAUUAACCUUAGGAUUGAUCAUCCCAAUUAAGUCAUUACAUAAUAGGAAUGAAUAAUAGACUGAGUCUAGGGGAGCUACCCUUGUUGUUAGAUAACUUAAAAUCAUAGGAUCAGUUACUUACUUACGAUCCGAUCUAAUCAAUUUAGGGAUAAAUGAAUAACUUACCAAUAUCGUUGUAAGGAGAUUAAUUCCUUGAACUAUGACGGAUUGAAUACAAAUAUGAUUACCUUCAAAUUAUGUUAUCUAUACAGUUAGCCAUGGUUGUUAUUUGUUUUUUCACAUGGUUGAUAAGAUUAGUUGCAUGGUUGUUUGAUUAUUUAUAUGAUUAUACUAGUGCCACUAUGUAAUUCCCUUUUAAUUUCUUUCUUUUAAGAUUGAUUAAUAAGAAGAUAUGGAUAUGUUAGUACACUUUUGUUCCCCAUAUAUUCGACACUCUUACUUACCUAAGUUAUGUUGUCAUUGACCAGGUCCACUGCCUGGUGUAGAUAGUCAGUUUGGUUUGUUAGGAAUUAUAAAUGUAAAAAUAGAUUUAUAUUUUCAAGUCUAUAUCUUUUAUGUCAUAAGUUUUUGGCGUCAUUAUCACAUGGAAUAGUUUUAAGUUAUCUCAAGUUUAUAGACUAUCUUUUACACAUCAAUUUUUUGGCGCCGUCGUUGGGGAAUAGAUUUCAACUAAUAUUGUUGUAUAUAAUUAUCGAUCAAUUGAUAUUUUCUGAAAGGAAAAUUAUUUUUUUGGUUGAUUUUUAAAUUUUAAUUUUCGUUGAUGACGAUUUCCCUUGUCGGAAAGGUAUUUUGCUGUUGUGAUGUGUAGGACUUCAACAAAACUAAAUGCAAGGUUACAGCCGAAGGAAUUUACUCAAAAUUAGUACAAAUUAACCUUGACUCCAUAGCUUCAUUGUGUGAAGGAUACACUAGUUCAGAUCUUCUAGAGCUCUACAAACAAGCAACUUAUUUCCCCAUAAGGGAUGUUAGAAAAUCGGGUAUAGGUAUAUUUGGAUCAGUGAGAGUUGUGAAACACUUUCAUAUUAAAACAUUUCAAGGGUACACUCAAAAUUUCUAAUCGGAUGAAACUCACUGGUUUUUUUAGAAUGGAGAAUGAAGAUUAUGUUAUGAAAUCUGUACCCAAAAAUGAAUUCGAAAUUGGUCAUAUAACAAAAACUAACUUCCUAUUUUAAAACCGUCAUAUGGUUGGUACAAGAAAACAACUUUCUAUCAAAAAACUGUCAUAUUACCUGUCACAAACUAAUAUAAAAUCGGAUCUAUAAAUGGAUCACAAAACCGACUGUAUUUAUAGAAAAUACGGAUUUCUGAAACCAGGUGUCUAUAAAUCGACCCCAGCUAGGGGAUUUGCCCUUUGGACCCCGCCAACGGCUGCCGCCCCUCGGACCCCGCUCCCAGGGGCACUGCCCUUGGACCCCGUCAGGGGGUUCGCCCCUAAAUAGCAGUAUACUUUCAACAAUGACAAAAUCAAACAAAUGUGCACUUCACACCAUACUAAUUUGUUAGAUAAUUGUCAAAGUGACAUUGACCAACAAAUUAACUCUAUUACACUUUAAUAAUAUUAGUGAUAUAAAAUCACCGACAAGGGAUUCUAGAUGAUGAGAAUAAAGGCAAAAAAACAAAUGUUCGUAUUUGUUGAAAAUGUGUGCAUUUAUUUUGGUACAAUCUCAUAUUUAUUUUAAAAAGAAAUUGUAAAGGGUAUAUUAUGUAAGUGUUGUGUUCUGGAAGGAUGAAAGUUGUAUGCAGGUUAUAAAGUUAAAACACGCGGGUUGAAUAUGGGUCGGAUAUAGAUCGGAUUAUAUUUGUGGAUACAAUCCGAGAUAUAAAUAGAGGAGUGAAGGUUCUGGAGGAAACACGCAGAAGUUGUUAGAUCUAGAUAUUUUCUCUCAGUUUUCAUCUCUCAAGAGUUCUUCGUUGAUUAGUCUGAUACGUAUCUGGUUUGUUGUAUUUUGAGUAAGAGAGAAGGUUGUGUAAUCAGUCUGUUUUACUCUCAUCUUUUGAUCAUUAGAAAUAGUUUAGAUUGAGUGAAAGUCUGAGAGUUUUUGUAGUGAGUUUUGAGUUGUAAGUAUAUUGAAAACCACCUGUUUCUUGAUCUUAAAAUGAAAUGAGAAAUGGUGAUGUUGGGAAGUUUGUUUUGUGAGUUUUUUAACAUGGUAUCAGAGCAUAAGGCUCGUCUUCGUUGAUCCUGACGAUCGCUUCUUGUUCUUGCUCGGUUUUUGUGUUUCUACUUGGGACGAUCUGUGAAAGGUAUACGUUCUUUUUUGUUUUUUGCGAUUAAAUAAGUUCAGUCUAGGGUUUUGUUUUAUUUCCCUAAAUCUAGAGUCUAUUUGUUGAGAUCUUGGUACUGCGAGUUGUUUGUUUAAUCUUUCAGGGAUACUGCGAUUCGAGACCUGACUAAGCGUUCCUGUGAAGUUGACUAAAACUCUCCAACGUUGUCGAUCAAUCCCUAUUAAUCUGAAAUAAUCCUCUUGGGGUCAGAUUUCAUCACUGAUAAACCCUUGUAGGAAACGGAUUUAGGGAGUCGACGUUGUCCAUCCUCUUUUUUGCCUAGUGCACUGUGAGGGUUUCUCGUUCCUUUCUCUCUAUUUUCUAGCUGUAGAUCUGGAAUUCUUUGAUGUUUUGAGUACAUCGGUUAUUUGUUCUUUGCUUCUCAAAGCUGAUUUGCUUUUUUUUUCACACUGUGUUGAUUGUCUUGGGCCCCGACAUACUGUGGUGACCAUCUGGACUUUAAGUCAACACUAGUGUUGUUUUUUUGUGAUCUGGUUUGCUAUUUGGUUUCUUGAUUGUUACUUGUGAUGGCUGGUGAAACUUCUGAUGGGAGUGGUGUUCCUAAGGAAACUCCUGUAGAUUUUGAUGAUCCUUUAUAUGUCCAUCCUUCUGAUAAUAAUGUAACGUCUAUUAUAACUGUUAAGCUGACUGGUAAUGAGAAUUAUCGAUUGUGGCGUAGUGCUAUGUCUAGAGGUCUUAAAGCUAGAAAUAAAUUGGGCUUUGUGGAUGGUACUAUUACUCUUGAAAGUACUGAUAAAUCUAAAGCCACUAAAUGGGAACGUGUAAAUGCUGUUGUCUGUAAUUGGAUUCUAGGGUCAAUUUCUGAAACUAUAUAUACUAGUCAUGUGUAUUCAGAUAAUGCUAAAGAUAUCUGGGAUGAAUUGUUUGAAACCUACAAUAAAUCUGAUGGAUCGGUAAUCUUUAAUAUUCAUCAGCAGAUCAACACAUUAAAGCAAAAUGGUUCUUCUCUUUCUGACUAUUUUAGUAAAUUAGAUUCUUUGUGGAAGGAGUUUGAUGGGUUAACUAGUUUAACUGAAUGUGUAUGUGAGGCAGCUACAAAACUUAAUGAUCAUUCAAAAUUGAUGAAAUUAAUGCAAUUUCUUAGUGGACUUGAUGAUGUUUAUAAUCAAGUCAAGAGUCACAUUCUUUUGAUGGAACCUUUACCUAAUGUUAAAUCUGCCUUCUCUAUUCUUUCUAGAGAAGAGUCUCUUCAAAAGAAUGGGUCUCUUGGGUCUACUAUUUCUUCAAAACCUCAAGUUUCUGUGUUUAAUAGCAAAGUUAAUGAUUUUAAACGAGGACAAAAUCAAUUUAGGUUUAAGAACCAAGGAUUACAAUGCAAGCAUUGUAAUCUUAAAGGUCACACUAUAGAAAGAUGUUAUAAACUGAUUGGUUAUCCAAAGGAUUUCAAAUUUAAAAAUGAAAGUAAUAAUCAAAACAAGUCUGGUGUUGUCAACUCUUCUUCUGUUAGUGCUAAUAAUAGCAAGUCUGUUUCUUCUGAGUCUGGUCUUGGGAGUGAUGCUCAUUUUCUUACUAGUGAGCAAUAUUCUAAGUUUUUGCGUCUCAUUAGUGAGAAACCUGCUUGUGAUGAUGUGCCUGCUACUGCAAAUAUGGCAGGUAUGUCUAUGUCUAUGUUUAAAUGUUGUAAUUCUUUUGCUAGUUCAAAUGAUUUUCAAAGCUGGAUUGUUGAUUCAGGAGCUAAUCAACAUAUGAUAGCUUCUGAGUCACAACUUAAAGAUGCUAUAGAUGUGUCUAAACUGAAUUUGUCUGUUAAACAUCCUAAUGGUUCUUCAGCUUCUAUUAAUAAAAUAGGGAAUCUUCAAUUAUCCUCACAUCUUACCUUAUUUGAUGUCUUUGCUGUUCCUGAUUUCAAUGUUAAUCUUUUAUCUGUCCAUAAACUUUGUAAAGACAGUGGCUGUGAGGUUGUUUUUUCUGAACAUACUUGUAAAAUCCAGGAUUCACUAUCAAAGAAGAUGGUGGAGAAUGGUAGAGAGUCUGGGGGAUUAUACUAUCUUGAUUGUGUUCCCUCAGGUAUUUCAACAAAUAGUGUGUCUAAUUGUUAUGUUUCUAAACUAACUUGGCAUAGCAGACUUGGUCAUCCAGCAGACCAAGCUUUAAUAUCUUUAAAGGGAAUUUUAAAACUUGGAAAUGAAUCUCUUCCUCCUUGUGAUGUUUGUCAUAAGUCUAAACAAACUAGAGAACCUUUUUCACAAAGUCAACAUACAUCAACCAAGUUAGGUGAAUUGGUUCACUUAGAUGUCUGGGGUCCUUAUAGGCUUGCUUCUGUUGAAGGGUUUAAGUAUUUUUUGACUAUUGUGGAUGAUUUUACUAGGGCCACUUGGGUAUUUCUUUUAAAGUCUAAAAUUGAUGUUUUUGAUUGUUUUAAAUCCUUUGUUAAUAUUCUUUUAAAUCAAUUUAAUGUUAAUGUUAAAAUAGUACGUUCAGACAAUGGUACUGAGUUUGUUAAUAAUCAAAUGAAGUUCUUUUGUUUUGAAAAGGGCAUGAUUCAUCAAACAUCAUGUGCUUAUACUCCACAAAAAAAUGGAGUUGUGGAGAGAAAGCAUAGGCAUAUCCUUAAUGUUGCUCGAUCUCUUUUAUUUCAAUCAGGAGUUCCUGUCAAGUAUUGGGGAGAUGCUGUUUUGACUUCUGUUUUUUUAAUAAAUAGAAUGCCUACUUCUGUUUUAAAUGGUCAAUCACCUUAUGAAUUGGUUUUUCAGAGAACUCCUAAUUUUGAAUAUUUAAGGGUUUUUGGUUGUUUAUGUUUUGCUGUUAAACCAAAUGUUUCUGAUAAAUUGUCUGAACGUGCUGAAAAAUGUAUUCUUUUAGGUUAUUGUUCUGAUAAAAAGGCAUAUAAACUCCUUAGUUUGGAUACUAAUUCUUCUUUUGUAUCCAGGGAUGUGAAGUUUUAUGAGUCUGUUUUUCCAUACAAGUUGAAAUCAACUUCUGUUGAUAAAGUUUCGAAUAUUUUUGGCCCUAGUGAUCUCUUUUCCUAUGGUGAAUUUGAUAAUAAUAAAUAUAUAAAUGAUUAUAUUAAUCUUGAUGAGCUGAGAGUAGAGUCUCAGUUGGAUGGUGCUGAUGCAGCCAUUGGUAUGGAUGAUGUUGAUUCUAGUAACUUUGUCAACCCUAGUGGCGAGGCAGUUGUGCCUCCUACUGAUUCAUCUGUUCCUUCUUCUUCAAGUGUAUCUGAGGAAAGUAGUCAAUCAGUCUUAAUCCCUUCUUUGGAUCAGUCUGUAGGUGUCUCUAGAUCUAGGCGUGAGUCUCAUAUGCCUGUUAAGUUCUCUGAUUAUAUUGUAGAAGGUAAGUAUAAAUAUGGUGUUGAAAGAACUAUUAACUAUUCUUUUCUUGAUUCUGAAACUAAGUGUUUUAUUUCUAAUCUUGAUAAAACUGUUGAACCAAAAAGUUAUAAUGAAGCUUUUUCUGAUCCUAAUUGGAUUAAAGCUAUGAAUGAUGAAAUGGAAGCACUUCAUCGAAAUAAUACAUGGGAAAUAACUGAUUUACCUAAAAAUAGGAAACCAAUUGGAUGUAAAUGGGUUUAUAAGAUUAAAUACAAGUCAAAUGGUGAAAUAGAUAGAUAUAAAGCACGUUUAGUUGCUAAAGGUUAUAAUCAAAGAGAGGGUAUUGAUUUUGAGGAGACUUUUUCUCCUGUUGCAAAAAUUGUAACAGUUCGGAUUGUUGUUUCUCUUUCUGUUCACUAUUCUUGGCCUUUGUAUCAGUUGGAUAUUAAUAAUGCCUUUUUAUAUGGAGAUCUUACUGAAGAUGUUUAUAUGUCACUUCCACCUGGUUAUUACUCUAGUAAUGAUACUAGAGUAUGUAAGCUUACUAAGUCUUUAUAUGGACUAAAGUAGGCUCCUAGGAAAUGGAAUGAAAAGCUUUGUGCAUCAUUGUUUAUGUUUGGUUUUAAACAGAGUAUAAGUGAUUAUUCGUUGUUUGUUAAGAAAAUUGAAGGUUCAAUAACUGUUUUGCUAGUAUAUGUUGAUGAUAUUAUUUUAACUGGAAAUAGUGAAGUAGAGUUAAAGAAGGUAAAGAAUUUUAUGAGUAGUCAGUUUUUAAUUAAAGAUCUUGGAACACUUAAAUAUUUUUUAGGAAUUGAAGUAGUUAAAUUUGAUAGUGGUUUAUGUUUAAAUCAAAGAAAAUAUUGUCUUGAGUUGUUGCAUGAAUAUGGUAUGCUUGGCUGUAAACCUGUGACUACACCUUUGGAAACAAAUUUUGUUAUAAAUUCUGAUAAUCAUGAUGGGAAAAAUGAAUUGUUGGAAAAUAAAACUGAAUUUCAGAAACUAAUAGGUAAACUUAUCUAUCUUACAGUUACUAGACCUGAUAUUUCUUAUGCAGUCCAGGUCCUUAGUCAGUAUAUGCAUAGUCCUAGAAAGUUACAUUUGAAUAUUGCUUUUAGAUUGUUAAGGUAUUUGAAAAAUAGUCCUGGAAAAGGAAUUGCUUUAACCAAAUCAAGUGUGUUGGAAUUGAAAGGUUUUGUGGAUGCAGAUUGGGCUAAAUGUUUAGCUACAAGAAGAUCUGUAUCUGGGUAUAUGGUAUAUCUUAAUAAUUGUCUUAUUUCUUGGAAAAGUAAAAAACAAUCUACUGUUUCAAGAUCCUCUACUGAGUCGGAAUAUAGGGCUCUUGGCUCUAUCACAUGUGAGAUAAUUUGGAUUUUAAAAGUUCUGUUUGAACUAGAGGUUAAAAAUCUUAUUCCUGCUUCUGUUUUCUGUGACAAUAGUUCCACAAUUAAAUUAGCUUUUAAUCCUGUAUUUCAUGAAAGAACAAAACAUUUUGAAAUAGAUCUACAUUUUGUUAGAGAAAAAAUCUCUAGUGGUGUUUUAAAGCUUGUGAAAAUUGGUUCAGAUGAACAAAAUGCUGAUAUAUUAACAAAAUCUUUAAGUGUAAAACAACAUGAAUUUUUGUCUAAUAAAAUGGGUCUUAUUGAUAUUUUCAGAAAAUAAAUAUUUCGAUUGAGGGGGGAUGUUGAAAAUGUGUGCAUUUAUUUUGGUACAAUCUCAUAUUUAUUUUAAAAAGAAAUUGUAAAGGGUAUAUUAUGUAAGUGUUGUGUUCUGGAAGGAUGAAAGUUGUAUGCAGGUUAUAAAGUUAAAACACGCGGGUUGAAUAUGGGUCGGAUAUAGAUCGGAUUAUAUUUGUGGAUACAAUCCGAGAUAUAAAUAGAGGAGUGAAGGUUCUGGAGGAAACACGCAGAAGUUGUUAGAUCUAGAUAUUUUCUCUUAGUUUUCAUCUCUCAAGAGUUCUUCGUUGAUUAGUCUGAUACGUAUCUGGUUUGUUGUAUUUUGAGUAAGAGAGAAGGUUGUGUAAUCAGUCUGUUUUACUCUCAUCUUUUGAUCAUUAGAAAUAGUUUAGAUUGAGUGAAAGUCUGAGAGUUUUUGUAGUGAGUUUUGAGUUGUAAGUAUAUUGAAAACCACCUGUUUCUUGAUCUUAAAAUGAAAUGAGAAAUGGUGAUGUUGGGAAGUUUGUUUUGUGAGUUUUUUAACAGUAUUCAUUCUUUUACCUUUAUCUAAGUAACCACAUAAUUUCAUCAACGUCCGAGAUUAAGUUUGGUGCUUUGGAUGUAUAAUGUGGUUAUUUUAUUUGUUAUUUUGUCUAAUUAUAUUGCAUUGAAUAUGUGUUUUGUUGAUGUUAAUUGAGAUUUUUUAUAAUAAUUUAGGGGCCAAGGGCAUUAACACAAGCAGAUUUGGAGAAGGUGAUGCUUACAGCAAAGAAGACGAGGGUUGCAGCAAGUGAGUAUAGUGGUUUGAGCAGCUCACAGUCAGAAUUAUGGUUAGUGCCAAGGGAAACGGAUGAUUAUCAAGCUGCCAUUAGUGAGCUUUCAAAGAUUGUUGUGUCACAGAUUAUGAACAUUAGAGCAGAAAACCAAGAUCGUGAUUGAAGAUCAAUUCAUAUUUAAGAUUUCAUCUCCCUCUCUCAAUUUUGAUUAGUCAGGAUUAUAUGUCAUAUUAUGGUAUGAUGUACAAUAUACUUAUGCGAAAAGUUAUCUUAUUACCACAUGCUUUUGAUUUUUCUUUAGUUUGAUUAUGUAACUUUCAGUGCUAAGUUAUUGUUUUUUCCUCAGUUUUUUAAUAACAGAAUCUGUGAUGGGUUUGUUUAUCUGACUUGAUCCAUGCAUUGCAUGCUUUCAACUUCAAGAAUAUGACAAAUGUUCACCAACUUUAAUAACUCGGACUUAAUUAUUAUUUUAUAUGAUACUAACAGAUUACAAACUAACACGGUUUAGAAAGAAAAGAUUAAAAAAAAAAGCGACUAUUACCAUAAUUCUUUGACCCACUAGAAUCUAGCUAUUUUUUUAACAUAUACUAGUCGGACCAACUCUCUUCUUAUCCCUGUGAAAAACUGGUUGUAGCCUCUGAUCCUAUAUAAACNNNNNNNNNNNNNNNNNNNNNNNNNNNNNNNNNNNNNNNNNNNNNNNNNNNNNNNNNNNNNNNNNNNNNNNNNNNNNNNNNNNNNNNNNNNNNNNNNNNNNNNNNNNNNNNNNNNNNNNNNNNNUCAAAUAGAUAUUUAUUUAUCUGAGGUUUUUACAAUUUAGUUGACAUUCAAAUUAUACAAAAGUCAGCAAAUUUUUUAAACAUUGCAAAUGCUCUCGUUAGAUUUUGGUGAUUCUCAUACAUUUGUAAUUGUGAUGAAUCGGUAACAAAACCUUAAACCAAACAUAUCAAAACAACAUUUAAGGUCUAAAUGGAAAACACUUUGUUUUGUACAUCUUCAUCUCUUAUAGGAGUAUCUUAUUUUUAUUAUUUGCUAUUAUCAUUAUUAUUAUUAUUAAAAAUGUGAACAUUCUCAAAAUAAAUACCUAACCUCUUUUAUGUAAGAUCUAUUGUAAUCAUUCUCACAUAAAUAUCAAGAAAAGUAUUAAUAUAAUAUCUAUAAAAACUUGAAGCAUUUAUUCGAUCAUCAACGUAUUGACAAAACAAGUUUUUCAACGUUAGCCAUCAGUUUGACCAACGACAUACACAUUUUACCCAAGUCGAAGUUUUGAUAUAAUAAAUCUAUAAUUUUUCCGUUUUGACUAUAGAAAACAAUGUUAUUAAAUCCAUAAUACUAUAAUAGCAUCUUCAUAAUGGAUCAUAUUUUUCUUAAACAACUUUAGUAUGACUAACUUUAUUUAUUUCACCAAAAUAACUCUUCCUUCACUUGCUGCCUCAAGUGAGUUGAACCUUAAAGUUCUAUUAUGGUUAUAGACCGACUAGCAAAUCUAAAUAGAAAUGCCCAUAGUUUCUUAAUUAAGUGAAGUUGAUAAAAAUAAAAAAGUCAACAAUACCUGUAGUGAGUCAAGUCGAAUUAGUAAAAACGGCCGGUUUGCAAAAAAAUAAAUUCAACCAUACCGGUCAAACGCCUUAAAAUCAUGACCCCUAAAGCCAGAUUUUGUUGCAUGACUGCGUCUCUUUUCAUUUUAAACAACCAUCUUCACAACAAUCAUUUCCUACAACCAACAACGUGGGAGGAGUUGUGUUGGUUUUUAAGUUUCCAUAUAACCCUUUCAUCAUUCAUUUUUAUAACAUCAAACAACUAUAUCUCUUUCUCUUUAUCUCCAAUAUGUUAUAUGUUUUGAUAAACAUUUCUAACACCCGUUUUGAUGUAUGAGUUGAUUAUGGUUGGUUUGUCUAAGUUUUGAUUUGGGAUUUUGAUUGGGCCGCGGUGCGUGUCACGUCAUUAAGUAGCGGUGCGGUGGCCGCUACAACCCAAAACCCUAAAACUCGGGUAUUAAGCCAUAUAUAAUGGUGCUAACUUUUAGGGUUUCUCAAAAUCUUCAACCUCCUUCUCCUUAGACGAAACCCUAGCCCUAUGUGCUUGUGAGAGAGUUUUGAGGUGAUUGUGAGGUUUUUGAAGAGGAAAGGAAGUUAAGGAAGCUUGAAGCAUUGUUGUCCAAUGAAUAAUCCACCUUCUAGUCUCUUCUCUUGCAUUGUAAAUGACAAAGUUUACUGCUUUAUUCGGUUUUAUGCGUAGAUCUAGGAUCUAUCUUGGUUUUUUGUCACUUUUGGUCAUUUUAACCUGAUGUUAUUGUUAGGCAUGUCAGACCCAACAAAUAAAGGGGUACAAUAGACUCCAAAUACACUGUUUUAAUGCACUAAAUGUAGUACAAGACAAGCAUGGUCGAACCACAUAGACACGGGACAAAAGUCUAUACCUCUUUGCACAACGUACUUUGAUCACAAAAGGGGGAUUUGUUUGCAAAAGUGAAAUAAUGAAAUAACAUUCUACUUUAAAAAACAUGCACAAAAUGAAAUAGAUUUGUGAACAAGUUGUAAAAGUGUUUCGAGUUCUAGUUCUCAAUGUUGUUGUUCAACUUGAUUAUGACUUGAUGUAAUUCAAGAUUUCUAUUCUAAGUUGGUACUGAAAGAUAUUAACACGCUCUAACACCUCUCGCUUGCCAAAUUAUCUAACCAAAACACGCUCUUUGACUAGACAUAGCUUUACUAAUUCAACCUAAACACACUCUUAGAUUAUAUUGAAAAAUUGCAUUAAGUUCUGUACAAGCUUCCCAACAAUGUUCAUUUCUUCUCAUACGCUCGAAAGUGUGAAAACAUGUGAUAUAUGUUUUACAAUAAGAAAACUUAUUGCUUGUUACCAAUUAUUAACUUAAUAGACUGAUUAGGUUCCCUAAAAGUUAAUUAACUGCACAAAAAUUCAAUUCAUGAAAGUGGCCAAUCAAACACAAAUCAAAUUUAAGGGUUCUAGUUUAAACAAAAACAUAAUCACUAGAAUAGAGUCACAAAUCAAAAAUCAUAUGNCAAGUCAAGCAAUCAACAUGUUUUGAACAAGAACUAGAAACUAGGGUUUCUUAGCCAAACAUGGCUAAGAACAAAUCAAACAAGAAUAAAGAUGAAAUUGAAAUGUUUAAUUUUUACUAAAAUGAAAUCAAAAGUGUUUGCAAUGAUUAGGUCUUCACAAAAGCUCCAAGAAAUCUCUUAGAAUUGCCCAAGAUCGCCCAAAACUGCUCCAAAAACCGUAUGCCCUUCAAAAUGGCGUCUCCUCCUAUUUUAAUUAAUGUUCACGUGCAUGCCAUGAGCCCAUGCGUUUUUGGCAUGGCCAUGCCUUUUGCCCAUGUGUUUUUGGCAUGGCCAUUUGUCUUAACCAUGUAUUUUUGGCAUGGCCCAUGCUUUUUGCUAAAAUUCCAAAAAGUCUUCACUGUUGGCUCCAUCUUCAAUCUAGCUUCACCACGAGUCAUGUUGCUCAAAUAUAAUAUGACAAAAGACAAACAUGACCCGUGUCGGUGUGACAAGAAUCGUGUUUCAAACAUAGUCAUUUGCUAUGAUAAUAAUGCACAAUGACUCGGGAUCCAUCUUUAUGUUUUUUGCCAUGGAAUGACCGGUUCAUCUUCUCCUCAUUGUCUAAAGCUCCAAGCAUCCAAGCUCCAUGCUCCAUAAUGCCUGCAAAAUAAAUCAAAAAUGGUGAAGUACUAGACAUUCUUGAUGAAAUAUGCAAUUGCCCUAAUAAUCAACUAAAUGCAAGAAUUAUGAAGUAGAAUGCUAUAAAAGGACGAAAAUAAACAUGCAAAAUAGGUGCAUAAAAUCCACCUAUCAGUUAUUGGAGUUUGAGCAACUCCAAAACUUUGGGUGGCAAAUGGAGAUGUUUUUGGACUUUAGGAAGAAGAAAGAUGAGUGUGCUUAGGUUCUUUUGCAACCAUUCAUAAGAUUAUAAGCUUAAAUGGACUUAAUCAAGUUAAGGUUAUAGAUUAGGAUAGAUUUAGCCCUUGGAAUGGAUAAAGUUGAAAACUUUAUCCAUUAACUGACUAGAAAGAAUCAUAUCUGAAGAUAUAAGCCUUGAUCUUUAGAGGUUAAGUGUUUAAUGAAUUAAGAGUUCCACCAGGGGAACCGUGAUGCAGCUUGAGAAACGUCAUGACACGAGAAAUGGAUGGCAUUCACGAACGUUUUUGUCAUCACAUGACUAUGGCGCGACUAGUAGUUGGGUUGCGAUGUGUUGACCGUUGACUAGUUUGUCUUUUGGUCAAAUUUGUUGAAUUUGAGUCUCAUACCGUGAAUGGAAAGUAAAAUGGUCUUUUGCCCUAAGAUGUGGAGUUAUGGAAGAAAAGACUCUAAAAGAAAGGAAAGCUAAGUAUUAUACCUUAAUCUCUAAGUUAAGGUUAUACAAUUUUGUAGUUGUUCGAGGAAGUUUCAGUGUCACUCAUCUCGUUUUAUGGAUAUAUCUUAUAAGAUAUUCAGGUAAGUUUUCACGAACUCUCUAAUUAUAUGGACUAUGACAUUAGGAUGUUAGACCAUGAAAAUCCUCUCAAAGAAAAUAAUCGGGGAUCGAUCAACUAGAGAAAAUCCUCUAGGGGGAAUCUAGUUGAAUCAGUAAUUAGAAUGAUAUGAUGUUAGGAUUAUGUAUCUUCUAUCAUGUUGCUUUGCUAACAUUAGUGACCCAAAACUCCGUUAAUAAGGAAGGCAACGAGAUUAGACGCUAAUUGUAUCCCUAUGUUAAACAUAAUAAGAUUGAGUUAAUGUUUGUGAUUGAUAUGAUAACUUGGACAAUUUGAGAAGUUGUCAUUAACCUUAGGAUUGAUCAUCCUAAUUAAGUCAUUACAUAAUAGGAAUGAAUAGACUAGGUCUAGGGGAGCUACCUUUGUUGGUAGAUAACUUAAAAUCAUAGGAUCAGUUACUUACGAUCCGAUCUAAUCAAUUUAUGGAUAAAUGAAUAACUUACCAAUAUCGUUGUAAGGAGAUUAAUUCAUUGAACUAUGACGGAUUGAAUACAAAUAUGAUUACCUUCAAAUUAUGUUAUCUAUACAGUUAGCCAUGGUUGUUAUUUGUUUUUUCACAUGGUUGAUAAGAUUAGUUGCAUGGUUGUUUAAUUAUUUAUAUGAUUAUACUAGUGCCACUAUGUAAUUCUCUUUUAAUUUCUUUCUUUUAAGAUUUAUUAAUAAGAAGAUACGAAUAUGUUAGUACACUUUUGUUCCCCAUAUGUUCGACACCCUUACUUACCUAAGUUAUGUUGUCGUUGACCAAGUCCACUACCUGGUGUAGAUAGUCAGUUUGGUUUGUUAGGAAUUAUAAAUGUAAAAAUAGAUUUAUAUUUUCAAGUCUAUAUCUUUUAUGUCAUAAGUUUUUGGCGUCAUUAUCAGAUGGAAUAGUUUUUAAGUUAUCUCAAGUUUAUAGACUAUCUUUUACACAUCAAUUUUUAUGAUUAUACUAGUGCCACUAUGUAAUUCCCUUUUAAUUUCUUUAUUUUAAGAUUAAUUAAUAAGAAGAUACGAAUAUGUUAGUACACUUUUGUUCCCCAUAUGUUCGACACUCUUACUUACCUAAGUUAUAUUGUCGUUGACCAGGUCCACUGCCUGGUGUAGAUAGUCAGUUUGGUUUGUUAGGAAUUAUAAAUAUAAAAAUAGAUUUAUAUUUUCAAGUUCUAUUCUUUUAUGUCAUAAGUUUUUGGCGUCAUUAUCAGAUGGAAUAGUUUUUAAGUUAUCUCAAGUUUAUAGACUAUCUUUUACACAUCAAUUUUUUGGCGCCGUCGUCGUGGAAUAGAUUUCAACUAAUAUUGUUGUAUAUAAUUAUCGAUCAAUUGAUAUUUUUUGAAAGGAAAAUUAAUUUUUUGGUUGAUUUUUAAAUUUUAAUUUUCGUUGAUGACGAUUUCCCUUGUCGGAAAGGUAUUUUGCUGUUGUGAUGUGUAGGACUUCAACAAAACUAAAUGCAAGGUUACAGCCAAAGGAAUUUACUCAAAAUUAGUACAAAUUAACCUUGACUCCAUAGCUUCAUUGUGUGAAGGAUACACUAGUUCAGAUCUUCUAGAGCUCUACAAACAAGCAACCUAUUUUCCCAUAAGGGAUGUUAGAAAAUCGGGUAUAGGUAUAUUUGGAUCAGUGAGAGUUGUGAAACACUUUCAUAUUAAAACAUUUCAAGGGUACACUCAAAAUUUCUAAUCGGAUGAAACUCACUGGUUUUUUUAGAAUGGAGAAUGAAGAUUAUGUUAUAAAAUUUGUACCCAAAAAUGAAUCCGAAAUUAGUCAUAUAACAAAAACUAACUUCCUAUUUUAAAACUGUCAUAUGGUUGGUACAAGAAAACAACUUCCUCUCCAAAAACUGUCAUAUUAGCUGUCACAAACUAACAUAAAACCGAGUCUAUAAAUGAUCACAAAACCGGAUGUAUUUAUAGAAAAUACGGAUCUCUGAAACCGGGUGUCUAUAAAUCGACCCCAACCAAAGGUUCUGUCCCUUGGACCCUGCUCCCAAGGGCACUGCCUCCGCACCCUCGUCAGUUUAGGGGCUAAAUAGCAGUACACGUUCAACAAUGACAAAAUCAAACAAAUGUGCACUCCGCAGCAUUACACUUAAAUAAUAUUACUGAUAUAAAAUCAUCAACAAGAGAUCUUCUAGAUGAUGAGAAGAAAGGCAAAAAAACAAAUGUUAGUAUUCAUUCUUUUACCUUUAUUUAAGUCAGGUUAAUACUAAAUUAUACGGUCUAACCACAUAAUUUCAUCAACGUCCGAGAUUGAGUUCGAUGCUUUGGUUGUAUAAUGUGGUUAUUUUAUUUGUCAUUUUGUCUAAUUAUAUUGCAUUGAAUACGUGUUUUGUUGAUGUUAAUUGAGAUUUUUUAUAAUAAUUUAGGGGCCAAGCCGCCAAGGGCAUUAACACAAGCAAAUUUGGAGAAGGUGGUGCUUACAACAAAGAAGACGAGGGUUGCAGCAAGUGAGUAUAGUGGUUUGAGCAGCUCACAAUCAGAAGUAUGGUCAGUGCCAAGGGAAACGGAUGAUUAUCAAGCUGCCAUUAGUGAGCUUUCCAAGAUUGUUGUCUCACAGAUUAUGAACAUUAGAGCAGACAACCAAGAUCGUGAUCGAAGAUCAAUUCAUAUUUAAGAUUUCAUCUCCCUCUCUCAAUUUUGAUUAGUCAGGAUUAUAUGUCAUAUUAUGGUAUGAUGUACAAUAUACUUAUGCAAAAAGUUAUCUUAUU